rnacentral:tRNA from 1 species
UAGGUAUAUUUAUAUAUCUCAGGAUUCCUAAUCCUGGGGUCGUGGGUUCGAAUCCCGC